UAUAUUUUUUAAUAAUAAAAACGGCGUAAUCGAACUCGCCUUCCCGAUACCACCAAAUUACGUAAAAGGGAUGCAAUUGUAAAAACGAUGUGCGACUUACCCCAGGAACACAGAGAUAUAUAUAUUGACCGGAUAUUACCGCGGUCGCCGAAUUAAAAUCCCAUGCACUAUAAAGGUUAAAAUAUAUUAACGCCAUUAUAAAAGAGCCUAUAUAACGAGUUUAUUUGCAUAAUUAUAUAAAUUGGUUAUUAACUGUGUGCGAAAAACAGGAGAGUUUCAACGAAAUCCAGGCGAAGUUAUGGAAGGGAAUAUAUGCUCUUUGUUUCGGUAUAAUAGCCAAAAAGGUCCCGCGGAAAACGCAUUUAGCAUUAUCACCCUAUUCUUUAAAAAAGAAAAAUAAGCAACCAAAGGUUAUUUCAAUACGUUAAAUUAUUAGGAGCAGGUUAUAAAUCCUAUUAUUGGCUAUUACCGGCUACCUCCAAAGCCCAUUCCCUUAAUAGAUAAGGUAGUCGGACGAAAUCGUAUUGGGCAUAUUAAUAAGGGCCGAUGCAAAUUUUAUAUCGUCGAAAUUCUUAUAUUUAAAGAACAAAAACUAUCCUGAAUUUAAAAUUGCCCAGUUACGGCGACAGCCACAAAUAUUUUGCAAAAAUCUACAAUAUUUAUUUAAUAUUUUAACAGUUUAUAAUUAAUCCCAAAAGACUUUUUAGGGGAUGUUGCUAACUAACCCUAUUUGCGUAAACCGAUGGAAUAGGGACCGGUUAUGGAUAUAUAGUAACCGGGUUUCCCUACCCAUAUUUACCUUCCAAAAAUCUGUCGUUAUUAUGGUUGGGCUAAUAUAAAAAAUGCUGUAAAUAAUUGGAUUGUGGUAAAUUUCCAAUAGUUUAAAUAAAGUAAAAUUCCAUUCUAGUUUUGUUUCGCCGAUCCAUCGACUUUUGAAAUUUGCGUAAAAAGUAAAAACGGUAGAUAACGAUUAAAUAUAAACCAAUAGUUAAAAUAUUAAUAACAAUCUCGAUAAUAAUGCAGAUAAUAAUCCAGUCCUGGGAUUAUAGUAAGGAAUAAAUUAAACAAAUGCAUUUUUAAAAAGGGAUUUUGUGCACAGUUACCUGCAAUUUGCAAAAUAAUGCAUAAUCGACACUUUUUUUAAAUAGCUCCGAACGACCGUUUUGUACACAGGACCAUCCCCACAAAUCCUGGUUAUUACUGCUGUUUCGCUAAUAUUAAAAGGAAAUAACGCUGGUAACCCAAAAAACUAUACCCAGACCGAAUCCUCCGAAAGUUAGAAUAUUAUAAUAUAUCCCAGUUUUUUCCGCCUUUUGGUACCCUCCACGGCAGUAAAACCAGAAAAUCCAAACGCAAACCAGAACAGAAAUACAGGAAAUAGAAAAUAUUAAUAUUUGUGGCCACGGGUUUAUUAUAACAAACCAGGCAGAUAAUCCGUUCUACCUCGGCAACGUCUUGGUCGCAUUAAAAAUUGUAAAAAUUGUGGAUAUUAUAAUUAUAAUAAUUAAAUUGCAACUAAACCCAACUCCUCGCAGCCCAAAUUUGGCAAUACGCAUUUUCGUUUUUAUUUUCUAGCAACGAACAGGUCAAUUAUUAGUUUCGGAUUUGGACUGCCGAAUUACAGCAAUGUUAAAUCCAAACACGUAUUAAAUCUUUAACCUGUAAUUUAUCCGUCGCAGCUUCUGCAUUUUGCAAAAGUUUAUUUUCCCGGGGAAAUGGUCUGCGCUCGUUAUUAAAUCCUGCUGCAAAUUUUACAUUCGUACAACUCGUUAUUAUAUCUCGCUGCCGUCGGUCCCUAUUACCGUCAAUUGAGAUUAGGUUGGUAAAAAAAAUAUUUAAUUACUGUUGUGCGAAUUGUAAUCGCAAAUUCAAAAACUAUUUUAACCAAGGGAUAUGUUUUAAAUUUACGCCCAAAAAUGGGCCUUAGUAAAUGGUCCAAUUUCAGGACAUACGUAAUUUUUUAUAUAGGGGUGCUAUUUUUGGGGCGCUGCGGGAUAUUUAUUCGUGGGUCAACUUUUCGACUUUAGAACUUCCUUUAAUUUUAAUUAAAGUUAAAUAAAUUUGCAAAAGCCUAAAAUUAGCUCUAAUGUACAGCUAUAGCUGGUAUUUUAAUUCCCAUUUUCUGGUUCGGAAAUAGAACAAAAACCGACAUGGUGGCCUACAAAUAAAAGGUGAAAUGGGCUUCGCCGAAUUUCGUAAUUAACAUUUUUAAUA
rnacentral:sRNA from 1 species